ensembl:lncRNA
CUGUAAUCAGGGCAUGGCAUGUAACACCUACAGAAUAUUCCAAAUCCACUGUCUAAAAGGAAUUAAUAUCAGGUCUGGGGAUAUUCAGGUCAUUGUCCCUGCUGACUUUCUGCAGCCAUACAUUACAGAGCUGCCCACUGUUCUUCUGAGCUGUCUUGUUCUGGCCACUUACUGACAACAUGCAAAAGGAAGUAUUGCCAUGGGGAAAAUAAACCCAUCUUCCUUGUGUCAUUUCAAGCAUGUGAUUGCCUGUUUUAAACCUCUACCCAAGAUAUUUAUAUAUAUAUAUAUAUUUUUUUUUUUUCUGUGCAUAAUAGGUGAGAGCAGUGGGAAGAUUCCGAACACUUGGCCUUGUAGUAUGGAUGUUCUGUCCCUUCCUUUCUGUGCAAGAUCUUGUAAAUGUUUUUAGGCCACCUGCCAUCUCUGUUUCAUCUUUUGCAUGCUAUUUCCACAAUCCCCACUUUGGAAUUAUCCUCCCACCUGUGCCGCUCUGCUGCCUUGGCUCUUGCCAAAUUGCAGACUCUUGUUUAAGACUCACUGUCAUCCCAGAGUUGAACCUGGUCCUUUUUCUUUAUCUGAAUGACAGAGAUCAGGAAAUUAUUUUCCAUGUCAGCCUGCACAGGCUGCCAGCUGUUCAGUCAUCACUGGCCUCCUGUUUCAGAACUGACAAUAAAGAAGUUCUGACUAUUCCACUGCAAUUGAUAAAAAUCUUUAUUUCAUGGGUAACAGUAAGAAAACUGCCAGGUGAAGUCAGACACUUCCAGGAGAGUGAUAAGAAGCCCUGUCUGAAUGGCUGGAAUGACAGACCCACAUUCUUCAUGGGACAGAUAAAUCCUGCUGUGCCAGGGCCAUCUGGAAACUGCCCCAAAUCAGCAGCCCUGCUGCAAGACCUUCCUCCCUCGUUCCCAUCCCUCCUCACACUCACAGCGGUCGUGGAGUGUGACAGGAAUUGUUCUGUACGGAUGUUGUGACAGAGGCAGUGUGCAGAUCUGAGAGGAUCUUUAUGACCUUCCCCAAGUGCAGCCGUUUUGCCCAAGGGACCAGGAAUGAGGGACAAAGGUUUCCUGUGUGCAGCAGCAGACAGCCACGUCCUGCUGACGGCAGAUUGCAGAGCCCUUCCAGCAUGGCAAUGAAUUCUGAGUGUCAGCUGGAUGGAGAGAGCACCUGAACGUGACAGUGGCACACGGUGCUAGCACAGGGCCCUGGAGCCUCGUGACACCCAUGGCCAGAGGGUUUGCAGCCCUCACAUCCCACACCUGCGCCACUCGCCUACUUUGUGACAAGUAUGAGAAUGAAGGAAAUGAUAAUGAAGGAAAAGGACCCUCUCCCUGUGCAAGGUUCCCUUUCACUCCCUCUCCACAUCUGCAUGCAGGCACUGCCUGAUUUCAGCUUGUAAUAGAUACCAAAUUGUCUACAUGAAUCUUCACCACAAAGCCACUCUCUAACUUCUGUUUCUCAAGCAUCUCUUCCUUUACUGACUGCCAUCAGAACUGCUCUUUGCCCAGAAGGAGAGAAACAAGAACUGAUUUCACACAAGUCAGACACAAGCACUGGUAAAGAAGCAGAACAUUAUUUACUAACCCAAGGAGUGCAAACUGUUUAUGUUUGAACCUGUGGUUAGAUUCUUCAGGGAAGUUUAGUACAAAAUUACACCCUCAAAGCAGAAUGUUUAGGUUUUCCACAGAAAGGCUUUGACUCUCUAUGACAUUGUGUUGUUUUGCAGAAUAAUUUCUGUGGGAUAUUUUCCUUUUUUAGCUCUAUUUAGUUCUAAAACUCUUUGGUGUAACUAUUAGGACUCCUAAGUGAUUCCUAAGUGACAUGUCAAAGUGAAGAUGCAGGUUGUCACUGCUCUACCUCAAAUGAGAUGGGAAUAUCACAGUGUGGAUUCACCUGUGUCACAGGAAGAGACACGUUGGGACAGCCAGGGUUAAAAAAGUUAUUUAGGGUCAUUUGGCAGCUUAAUGGCAGAACUGAGAAGGGAGCAAGGUCAGUGACUCACUCUCCAAGCCGAAUUUCAUCCCCGAAUUAUUUAGGGAGUUUCUUGGUGCUGGGCAUGGCUGAGAGAUUGAGAGAGCACAGGGAGAGAGGGUGCAUGACAGCAUCAAAGGGGGAAUGGCUCCAUGGAGCUCUUUUGGGCCAUUGUUUCUCUUUGUGGGCAUUCUGAAGGGAAUGAUUUGUUAAAGGGGACUUGAAGGAGGCAGGGAUGUAAACGGAAGAUGCUUUAGACACAGGAGAAACAAGGAAAAGGGACAUAAGAAAGCAAAGAAGCAGCAACCUGGACCAUGAAGAAAGGAGAGGAUGAUAAUGAAUUUGGAAGGGAAUGGUAGCAGAACAAAUACACACAGCCAAGACAGGAAAUAAUUAAAAAGGCCAUUUGGUAAUUGAGGAGUUUCUGUGUUAAAGAGAGUUAAGAUCCUGGAGAUUAGAGAAAACUACAGCUGUAAACAGUUCUUUGGAGUGUCCUUUGAAGGGACAGCCCUUGCAAUCCAUGCUCAGAGCCAACCUUCCACCCAGCAAGGAAUGGAGCCAAGAGGGUGCUUUGGACUGGGCUGGCAGCUUCAGACUGCCUAGUACCUCUGCAUGGCCUGGGUCUGGCCUUCCCAAAUGUUUACACUGAGUGCUUCACAGAUCUCGCCCUCAUUCAAGAAUAUUUGCUGCAGGGUGGCUGGAAAGAAAAUGCAUCUGCAGAUGAGGGCUCUGCACCUUCCUGCUAUGAGGAACACUCUCAGGAAAGAAGAGGAGAGAGUGGGAGCCUGUGACAGGAUUUUGAAUCUGAAUGUAGGAAUCAAAACUCAUCCACAAUAGAAUUUAUGGGAGAAUUCGGGAUUUACACCCAGAAGCUACAAUCACACACACAGAAAAUGAUUAUUUCCUCCUCCCUCUCCAGGAGGCUGGCACUUGGCUUUCUUCUGUCAUUUCCUGGCACCUUCACACCCAGAAGGAAGGCUGGCCCAGGUUUAGCACUAGUGCAGCUUUCUAUAGAGCAGCAAGUAACUUAAAUUUGAACUUAGAGGAAAAACUGCUUAGGAGUAUAUUCUAAGGUGUAAAACAGGAAGAGAAUGCUUUUUUUCCCCCCAGAUGAUUUUAUAGGCAUCAAAAUGUUUUCUCAGCCUCUUUCUGGCUGCUACUUAAAUAGUGGAAACUUAUUCUCUGUGCCUGCCGUUCUCUUUUGUUAGUUGUACUCACAAUUUCAGGGACUGGACUUGCAGGGGAAGAAAAAGUCUUCCUAUCUAAUUCCCAAAAAUAUGCACUAUCUGCCAGCAUGUAAAUAAUGACCCAGUUUUAAGAAAAAAAUAAAGAGCAUUUCCUUACCUGCA